GCCCGCGCAGUACGCUGCCCCUGCGCCUUACCCUGCGCCCGCGCCGUACCCCGUCACGGCGUACCCUGUGGACAGCUCGUACCACAGCGCUUCUCCAGCCCCAUACCCGGCCGCCCCGUACCCCGCCGCGCCGUACCCCACAUCGUCGUACCCAUCGGCGCCGAGUGCACCUGAAGCGAGUGCGCUGCCGCCGUCGUACGACCAGGCUGUCAACAAGCAGGCGAACAUCUACCAUUAAUUAAAUAAUGACCUCACACUGAUGAUACCAACGACGGGGUAAUUAUUAGCUGAACACCAAUGUUGGAAGUUAAGAACGGCGAUAGAUCAUAGAAGUAACGCCACCUGUAAUCCUGUUGCUUAUCCGCGCGACUAGUUCUAUUUAUGUGUGCACGACAUUUCAACGAGAACAUCGACCAUAACCAUAGAGCAACACGGAAAACCGGCGGAGCGGAGGGGAGUAGCCAUACGCAGGAGUUCUCUCUGAAGUACAAGUCCACGCGGUCCUAUGCAUAUUAUAAAACUAGUUGCAAACGGUUGGCAAAUUUGUGUCGUAAAUCGUCGUCGACAAAAAUACCAAAUUGUUCAGUUUAAUGCGGCAAAAAGACAUCUGCCACGUCAAAUUUACAUAGAGAUGGCGUAAGCUAUUAAAUGAAAAUAAUUAUUAACCAUAUUAUUAUUUAGAAUUUUUUUUAAAUUGAAAUUUACAAUAUAAAUGAUCGAGUUGUUUCCGAUUCCUUUACAAACACUGGAUGCUCGCCCUCGUACAUUACGCGUCGAGUCGAGCGACUGAACCGAGUUGUCCUGUGUCACCGAGCGAUAGUGUUGUUACUCGCUAUCGGUUCGAUAUCGAAAAAAAUUGAAAGGAGUCUAAGCAUCAGUUACCAUUUCACAUGAAAAUGUUUUUAGAAAUAAUAAUUUGGAACUGACAAUAUUAAAAAUUAACAAAAAUAUACUGGUACAAGAAUUCAUUUCAUAAUGUUUUAAUAUUCACAAAAUUGUCAUUUGUUCACAAAAUUAAUCCAUUUGAAAACGUAUUAAGUUUAUAUGUAUUAUUAUUGUUAUAGUAGAAACUAUGAACCAAAAUAACAUCGGAGUCAAAAAAUAAUAAUACAAUCUAGUACUGUAAACUAAACAUUACAUAAACUCAUGCACUAAAUAUAAAAACUCAAUGUACUUACUCAAGACAAUCUACUAUAAUUAUUGGUGUAGAUUGUAAAACAAUAUACUUAAGCGUAAAUCACCUAGAGUGAUCCAUUUCCGAAUUGUGAAAACAGUAUUAAUUGGACUGUUAUUGAAAUAAAUAACGUCCUAUAUUAUUUUAAUAUUCACUUCAGUGUUCAUUUUAAACCUAAUUAUCUCACCGAUUCUAGGUUUUAUCGAUAAUUUUUAUCGACAGUUGCUGCAGCCAUCCCUUUACACAGGUUGUCAUGUAGUUGCGUCGUUUCAUUACUCUGUUAUGACACAGAAUGUAUCUAUGUGUUUGUAAAUUGUUAGUGUACUGUUGUAAUUGUUACGUACGAGCUUCGAAGUGAUAAAGGAUUGUUUCCGUGUGGGAGUCUGAAACUGUACGCGACGUAUUUUCCCCACCAGUAAAAAAUUACAGUUAUACGCACCUAGGGGGAGAAGUAGGUCAUUCUCACCCGCGGAAUAUUGACAAUCGCGGUUGGAAAUGUCCUACUUAUCUCAAGUGGUGCAUGUACAUGGAUGAAAAAGUCGUCUUGCCGGGAGACAAUCCGCCACUUUUGUCCUUCGUACCAGGGACUAAAAGCGAGCUUUUCUUCAAAGUGGAAAAGAAGCAUAAUAUGUUUGUGAUUAUUAUGUUUUAACGCGAUCAUUUCGGAUCCAUUACGCGGAAUCGAAUAAUUCAUAGUAAAUGCUUGCUCACAAAAUAUUUUAUGAGGUUAUUUUAUUUUUGUGACCUAAUUAAUCUAAAGAAGUAUUUUAAAGCAUUUUUAAUAUGUUUAAAUAAAAGUGUGACCCAACAUACACUAAAACUACAACAUAAGACCAGCCAAUAAAUAAUUGUUCUUUAUGUUAUGUUUUUAAAGUGAUAACCCUCACUUCUGAGAUUAAUAACACAAAUAAAAUAUUCACGGAACGCGAGAGGUCGCGGGUUCGAGUCCCGCAUCGUUUAUUAAUUUUGUUUUCAAAUUUUACUUGUGUAAAUAAAUGUUCUAUUAAACGAACAGUUUACGUCGGAGAUUAUUUUUGUUUUAACGCUAAAGGGAAUCGAUUUAAGUUUAGUUUUUUUAAUGUGUCAUAUAGUCAUGAUAUUAUUAUUAUUAUCCAAGUUUAUACAUUGAGUUUGUCCUCAUUGGCUUGUUUACUUCUGUUCUAUUCAUUUUGUCGGAUUUUUACUUAAGAGCCUGUCUAGUGCCUUGAAUAAUUCCUGAAAUUUUUAUAUCUUAAUAUGUUGGCCUAGUUGCAUCGUUUUCUCCAAUAUGAUUUUAAAUUGAUCAACAACUGUAACAAGAUUAAAAAGAAAUUUAUCUGUAACUGUUACCUAAAUUUAAAAGUUUUAUACAAUCUGUAUUGUUGUUGUAACAUUUACAAGAAAGUAUGUUCACUUAUUCGAUUGAUAUCUCCACUGAUUGAAAAAAAAAAUUUGGAGAUAAUCCAAUUGCUUAUGGACGGUUUUGUGUGCUUGCUAUUUAGCCGGUAUGGGAGUGAAAAAAAGGACCGCGCGGUUGAGAUACGUCCAUGUAUUUUGAAUCUGUGUUGGAUGUAAUUUUUCUCUGAACCAUCAUCGUGUAUCAAUUGUAUACUCGUAGGCUAGUAUAGUUAGUUCUAAUAAGUGGUCACUGUCAGAGCUGGUUCGGCCAGUGACCACUUGACUGCCAUCUAUUGUAACAAAAUAUUUAAUUUUAAUAAUAGAUUGUAAUAAAAAAAUACAAAGUACACAUGUCAGAAGUGAAACCUGCACUGUGCAUGAAACUCUCUAAACUGCAUAUGAAGUCCUGGUACAUGGUGAAAUCAUAUGGAUUUCAACCGCUAUGAAAUGCAUGACUAUCACCACUACCAUAUUUUUAUUCUCCUGGUGUCUAUGUAGUAAUAUGUCGAGCGCAUGACUUCAGAAUAUAUUAAGGUAUACUCGCGUCAUAUACAAGACAAUGUCUUCAAAUAUGAUCGCCUGGUACCAAAACAAUGUAAAAUGCUCCCUAUCUCAUUUUUGCCCACGUUAAAUCUUAUGAAUUUAUGUGUCUGUCUCUUUCUACUGUCGCGCUUUUUCGUUUCAUCGACGCUCAAAUUGCAGCGAUGCUAAAGGAGUUUUCACUCCAAAAAGGCACGAUCAGCAGUGAUCACUUGCCGUCCCAAUCAAAAGAAGUAGAAACACAAAGCUAUCAACUGUUCUGUUACAAUAAAUGAUAAAGGUAUGUACAGCUCAAUAUGUCGAUUUUAUCUUCCGUAGAAUGUUGUAAUAAAUGUAUACUAUGAGACUUGUCUGUUGUGAUAUAUAUUUUUAUGAUUAAUUAAACCACUUGUGCUUUCUGUUAUAGAAUUUAUACAAACAUAAGUUAUUAUUUUAACAGAUCCAGAAUUUCUUGAGCAUAUAACGUAAAACAUUAGGAAUUCAGAUCUCAUAUAAAUCCAGUAGCGAUUGUAACCUCACCACUGUUAGAUGACGGAUUACUUGCAAAUACAGGGUGUUAAUAAAAUCCUGUACUACAUCUUAAGGUGUAUAUUGGUAUUAAGCAGUGAGUACAUUUAAAUAUCGAUUUUCAGGAAAUAAUCACAUUAAAAAGUGAAAAAAAAGAGUUAUAUCGAAUCCAAUUAUAAAAGUUUGCACACCUGCGGCCAUUUUCAUUUUUCCCCACCCACACACCCAUUUCAUUUACGCUACCUGCGAGGGAUGCGGCGCGAGGCGAAAUCCCCGCCUUAUUCGAUUAAGCUGCCGCUCAGCUGCUCUACGCCAUUGGACCGAAUUAAGGGCCAUGAACCUUAGUUUACUGGUAGAAUAAAUAAGUCAGGGAUUCUCAAGAUUUUUGAAGCCAUUUAAUAUAAAAAGUUCUUUUUACUGUUGCAUUUAAUCCAAGAGGUUUUCAUUUUUUUUAGUGGUGUCUCCGCAUUCUAUUUCAUAUCCGUGUCUAUUAUGGUACAGGGAUUUUUUUUUUAUAACGAUUAAGAUUCUACGGGCUCUAAGGUCUAUAAUAUUAUUGAACAAAAACAAUCAAGCAUCGCUCGCACUCCUGUCUGUAGCGUUUAAUACGAAAAUUACGAUAGUUAUAUAUAGGUAAUCUCCUCUAUAACGCAGUAAAGUGCUUCCGCGUUAUAGGAUACGCGUUGCAGGGGCGAUUCCUGUAAAUAAAAUAUAUGUUAAGUGAACGUCCGAAUUAUAUGUGACAUAGAGCGCACGUGUGCACACGAGGCGUUACAUACGAUAUAAACCAAGUCUGCAGUAGCGUUAUAUUUAUGUCAUUAACACGAGUCUCUAACAUUUUAAUACUCUAAAAAGACAAAAACGCGUGUAAUUAUAACGUUACCUCUUCUUCAAGUACAAUUACAAGCGAAUUAGUUAAAUUACUUUCUUUAAAUGAAACCAAAUACUGUAAAAUGUAUGUUAUAAAAUAAUGUUAUAAUUGCACGGGUUUCAAUUAUUAUUUAAAACAUGUUUAAUAUUAUAUAAAUCAAAUGUUACUUGUAAGUCAGUUCCAACUCAUAUUAUAAUACCUAAUUUGUCACAUGUUCGUGUAGAUAAAAAUAAAUAAAUAAACAAUACUAUUAAUAUAAUUGUUAACAAUAUAUACGAUCGCGUAAAAGUUAACUACGAUUUGUAUGGCGUAAAUGAUGUUUUCCUCUACUUUCACUAGAUGGCGCACUUUUGACGUCAUACAAAUCGUAGUUAACUUUAACGCGAUCCAAUAGUUAAAAAAUCUCACACUUGGCACUUUGAUAUCAACUUGUGUUGUGUCGCACGUGCGAUUGUCAAUCUGUCCGUGUGUCCAGGAUAAACUCGCUGUCGUUAAAUGUAAAUUAAACAAUGAGGUACUUCUGUAAAUGUAUCCAUAUUCCAUGGUACCUUUGUAAUUAGCAUAAGUAAUCUACUAUAUUAUGUAAAUAAUUCCCUGAUGAUUUAUACAUUAAUAAAAAUUUGUUCAAAUUA